GAAGUCAUGAACCUGAGCCUACUGAGAACACAGCUGGAGUUUCUAAGUAAGGGAUCUCCUCAGGGCAGAAGAAGUUUCCAUUUGAGAAAGUGACUAAUGAUCUCCUGUGGGACUAUAUAUUGGAACAAUUUCUUUAAGCUUACCCAAAGUAAAAGGAACAAGCUGAUGCCUCUGGGCACAAGGAAUAUUUAAUGAUUCUACAAGGAUGGAUAUUGCUUCUACAAAAGCGACUGAGAAGAAGCCUCUCUUUUCUAUCCCAGGGUAUCAUCGGCUCCAGUGGCUUGGGAGUGGAAAAUGUAGGUUCAACCACCUUAUAGCACAGGAAUUAAUCUAUUCUAGUUGCACUUUUUUUUGCAUAAAUACUCAGAUAAGUCCACCUAUGGAAGAGAGCCACUGCUAAGGCCAUACUUUGUGGGAUGGACUGGCAAAAGGGCCUCACACCAAGGUGAAGUUGGGUAGUUUGAAAUAAAUACGGGAGUAGGGGACUCCCCACAGUCUAGAGAUGUGAUCUAAAUCUUAUCAGUUUCUGUUGGCUAACAUGUGCCACCUGUUUAGCUUGCUGGAUUUGGGGGAAUUGUAUGCUUGGAGCCCACAUUUUUGCGUGCAUUGCAUGUGAAGCAAUGCAUGCAACUAGCUGCAUAACUCGGGGCUGAGGUAUCCUGCCAGCUGGGUCCUUUAAUAAUGAGUUAAAACUUCCUUGUGAGCCUGGCUCCGGAUUUCACAUUUUCAGUCUCCACUGUAGAUGUCUGUAUUUCAGGAAGCAAAGACAUAAGAACUGUUGCUAUUUUAUAUUGUUGCUAAUAUGUCAAGGUUUCUGGACAUCUUCCAGAGGUGAGUGUUAGCUCAGUGGGUCAGUUGCCAAGAAAACUCCACUUCUUGCACAUACAGGUUUUACUUUUGUGAUUCAUAGUGUCAUUAUUUCAAUGGAUGUAGCCGUCACAAGAGAUUAUGGCCAGAUUUACACUGCCCUUCAGGUAACAUGAAUCUAGGGAGCUGAAGUCUUGAAUGGGAGCUGGUAUUUAUAGUCUAGUCAAACAAGACUUAGGCACCAAUUAAGUUCUCAGGCGAGCCCUCUCAGUGGAUGUUGUAUGUAACUGAAUGGCUAACUGGUCUGAAGCCAUUCAAGCUGGUGAUUAGGUAUAGAAGACUUUUGUCACCAGUCACAAAUUUAUGUGACCACAAAUGGACCGCAAGUCCCCAUGGGAGAGGACUGUCUGCAGUCACGCACAUGAAAGGAACUCUUUCCUAGCCACGACUCUGAGUAUUCACACGCAGAGCUCGACAUUUUCAGUGUUUAUUCAGCUUUUCAGGGGAAGAGGAGACAAACAGGUCCUUGUAAAAAAUGAAAAAAAUAUUGAAAGAAAAGAAACUGUUUGUUUAAAAAAAAAGACUGUCUUUUAGAAAAUUAACUUCAACAAAGCAUUUCAGCUCUUCAGAACGAUAUGAAAGUGAGUGAUUCAGUUCCAUAUGAAAAUAGUGUAUCAAAGAGAAGAAUAUUACCUUUAAUUGCUCCUCUGCCAUGCCAUUUCUGACUGCUUUCCAGAGUUUGAGAAACAUUCAGCAUCAGCAGGGUGAAUCAUCUGUGCUGCAUACAGCCCUGUUUGGCAAACUGCAGGCAACCGUCUCCUGGGACUCUGCUCCAGUUUGCACGUUUAUCCCUACUGGAGGCCCUAGCUAAAAUAAGGAACACCACAUCUGCAAUGUGCAUUUAUUCUUCUUCCUGACAAAAUAAGAGUAGAUGAAUAUAAAAUAGUCUUUGAAGGGCGGGAUGUUUGGGGAGUGAGGAUAUCUGAAAAAUAAUCUUUUAAACUUUCUGAAGGCUGGUGAAGAGCACGAGGCAGAAGUGUGGUCAGCAGAGGAAUUUAUGUGGAAACGUGCUGGAUUCCUUGCAGGAAACACAAAAGGGUUUAUAUAUUUGGAGUCAGAGGUUAAAUUAAGGGUGAACCCACUCUAGUGGAGUUUAUUCCUCACUUCUAAUUUGGGGAGUUUACUCACUUCUCACGAAUGCCAAAAUAAUAAAGUUUAUCCACACUUCAUUUUCUAUUACUCAGUCGUUUGCAGAGUCGCUAACCUGCCACUGUUUCUUUCUUAAAGAUACUGAAUUUAUCCCAGGACUAGAAGCUGACAUUCUAGGAAUUUUGUAGAAUGAAGUAUGCCAUCUACUAAGCAAAGUAACUGUAGUGGAAAAAAAAUGCCGUGUUUUCUAAGAGGCUGUUGAGCAGUGUGCAGCUAAAUCUGGCAAAGAACUGAAUGUUUGCAUUUUCCAUUGAUGUCAGCUCUCAGGACACGGUCUUAUAAAUGGGAAGCUGUCUGAAGAAGUAUUGCAGACUAGCAGUGAGUGGGUAGAUUUAAAAUAGAUUAAGAAAUUAAUGAUAUAAGGGAACACAUAACCUGAAAAGAUGAUAGUUUUAAUGUGUCUUGGUACUUUGCUAUGCAUUUAGAGUCACUCUACUAAGUGUAUUGGGUGGCUUUGCAAUGUUUAUAAUGAAAAAACUCUGCUACAUCAAUCCCACAACCCAGAAUUAUUUUAAUUGUUCUGAUAGGCAGGUAAUUUGGAGGUUCUAUUUCCCUUCAAAUGUCCUAAUAAAUGGAUAUGAUUCUAUAAUCAAUGUGAGCACAUCUCUAGUCACUCUUCUGUGACUACUUGAGAUUACCUGAUCUAGAGAGAUGGAAUGGCAUUGAUUCUGUUGCUUCCAAGGAUGCCUCACUGAAUCAGUCUGUUCCCUUCUUGACAGGCUGCUUUCUAUAUGUUAUCCCCUAUAACUGAACACACUGGACUUUGAACUGCCAACUCUAUCUAAAAUUUCAUGAAAUCUAUGUUAUCUGGAAUCAGUUCGUUCACUAAGUGGAAGUCACCUUGAAAUGCUCUGGAUGUCCUUGAUUCCCUCAAAUAUGCAUUUGAUUCCCUAAUUCAGUGAUUAUCGCUUGUAAUAACAUCAAGGGAACUACACAAGAAGACGAAAAGUGUUAAUGAUGGCUCACAAAGGGAGGUUUCCAGCAGCAGUUUGAUCAAAAGAAUCAAAGUCAGUUCCCAUUUAAGACCAGGAAUAAAUUGCGGAGCUCUUUUUAGCUAUUCCAGCUUGUGACUCACUGUGCAAAGCAGUGUUGGCUCUAAGAUAUCUUUCUUUUUC